UGGGGAAUAUUGGACAAUGGGCGCAAGCCUGAUCCAGCAAUGCCGCGUGAGUGAUGAAGGCCUUAGGGUUGUAAAGCUCUUUCGCACGCGACGAUGAUGACGGUAGCGUGAGAAGAAGCCCCGGCUAACUUCGUGCCAGCAGCCGCGGUAAUACGAAGGGGGCUAGCGUUGUUCGGAAUUACUGGGCGUAAAGGGCGCGUAGGCGGCCUGUUUAGUCAGAAGUGAAAGCCCCGGGCUCAACCUGGGAAUAGCUUUUGAUACUGGCAGGCUUGAGUUCCGGAGAGGAUGGUGGAAUUCCCAGUGUAGAGGUGAAAUUCGUAGAUAUUGGGAAGAACACCGGUGGCGAAGGCGGCCAUCUGGACGGACACUGACGCUGAGGCGCGAAAGCGUGGGGAGCAAACAGAUUAGAUACCCUGGUAGUCCACGCCGUAAACGAUGAAUGCUAGACGUCGGGGUGCAUGCACUUCGGUGUCGCCGCUAACGCAUUAAGCAUUCCGCCUGGGGGGUACGGCCGCAAGGUUAAAACUUAAAGGAAUUGACGGGGUCAUAGCUGUUUCCU
rnacentral:rRNA from 1 species